rnacentral:SRP_RNA from 2 species
GCCGGGUGUGGUGGUGCAUGCCUGUAAUCCCAGCUACUUGGGAGGCUGAGGCAGGAGAAUCACUUGAGCUUGGGAGGCGGAGCUUGCAGUGAGCCGAGAUCACGCCACUGCACUCCAGCCUGGGCGACAAAGCGAGACUCUGUCUCAA